CAGGAGUGUACGUUUCAGUCAGCUCCUCGAUGAUGUCUGUUGUACACUGCCUGCUCUGCUGUUUCAGGAAUCUAUAAAAUGGACUCAAGUACCAUUUAAAUUAUCAGGAGGAACUUACCACAAGGGCCUGAUGGAUCCUGGACCAAAAUGAAAUAACAUGUGGAAUCUUAUUCCCAGGAGGUUUGUAAAUACAGGGCCAAUUUUCCGAGAGGAAGAUAGAUUUAAGAUGUUCUCCCUUAGCUCAUACCAGGAAAUUUAGAUCUGUGGGGUGAAUGUACUUCUUUCCUAUGCCCACAGGAGGUCAGUGAAACAUUAGGCCUAUGUUUUUUUAAAUUGCAGAACAAAAGAAUUUUGAACAGUGCUGGUCUACGAGUAGAAUGCUUCCACAUUCCAAUUCUUUACAAAAGAUAAGCUUUAUUUACUCAUAGGCUUCUCGCACGAGUGUUUGAGUUUCUGUGCAACCCCAAAGCCUGCAGUGCCCUGCUCUUUAGAGAGGAAGAACCACAGUCAUCAAGUGAGCAUGGACGAAGUAGAAUCAUCAGGCUCUUCGUCAUCCAUAUCGGAGCGGUUCUCACAUUCUGCCACAUUGAUUUGUCUCGACCCCUUAAAGGACGUAUCUACUAAAAACAUCCAGAGAGCUUGCCCAGCUGCCGAUCUGGGACUUUUGGUAGAACCCCACCAGGCCACUCAAUCCACGCAAGAAAUUGAAACAAGCAGCAGAGAUUGGGGGAAAUGUGCUGAAGGUGGCAGUCAAGUGGGGUCCAUUGAGGCACCACUUCUGCUGAUGUCUUCUACCAUCUUCCUGGAGUCUUCUGCCGUCUUCCUGGCCAAACUUGGAGCACUCCCAACCCUCCUCUGAGCUAGGAGUCAUUAAGCUGUUUUGGCUAGAUCCUCCAUGGACAUGUAGCAGAGUAUUUAUAUCCCACCUGCUUUUUUUCCCUAAUGUCAACAACUCAACUGACUUUGGUGUUUUCUUUGCUGCAUUAGAAGAAGUCAGUUUCUCUUAUGGACAGGAAGGUGACCUUCUCUUGAAUAAAAUACAUUUUUCCUACUAGCA
rnacentral:lncRNA from 1 species